rnacentral:rRNA from 1 species
AGAAAGUAAAGUCGUACAAUCUCGGUGUAACCAGCGGAGGGAUCAUU